rnacentral:misc_RNA from 1 species
GAUGAAGAACGUAGCGAAAUGCGAUAAGUAGUGUGAAUUGCAGAUUUCAGUGAAUCAUCGAAUCUUUGAACGCACAUUGCGCCCGCUAGUAUUCUGGCGGGCAUGCCUGUUCGAGCGUCAUUUCAACCAUCAAGCCCUAGGCUUGCGUUGGAGCCCUGCGGCUGCCGCAGGCUCCCAAAUCCAGUGGCGGGCUCGUCGUCGUACCGAGUGCAGUAAACAUCCUCGCUCAGGGAACGUGACGGGUUCUUGCCGUGAAACCCCCCACAUAUCAAGGUUGACCUCGGAUCAGGUAGGAAUACCCGCUGAACUUAAGCAUAUCAAUAAGCGGAGGA